rnacentral:lncRNA from 1 species
GAAGCUGCAAGUAACUAAUAAGUACUAACAACGUAACUUAUUAGUUAAAGUUUAAAAGAUUUUACAUCCAGGUUUGGGAUUCAAAUUCCAAACUAUGUAAUUUCUUACAGAUUACAGAAAAUCCAAGUUUUAAGUCUCAGAAUCCUCAUAAAGUUCUACAUCCAAGUUUGGGAUUCGAAUUAGUAUUAUCGGUUGUCGAAUCGUCUAUAUAAUCUUUCUCGUAUCAUAAUUGUAAUAUCAUAAUAAAUCAGUGUUAAAAAAAAAAACAAAAACAGUCUUGGAUUCCAAAAAGAUAAUCUAGAUACAAAAAGUGUUUCAUUUGCUGAAACAAAUGUGAGUAAAAAAUGAAUUAUACAUUUAUACACCAUAACAUAACCCACAUAGAAAUCAUCUAUUGGAAAAAGCAAUUGCACUAAAGCCACCAUACCAUAAAGGAUGUAUAAGAUGAGAACAGAGACUUCUAGGGUUCGGUUAUAGUAGAUUGUAAAGAAGAUGAUGAAGAAAAACACUAACUAAAUGAUCGUAGACACGAUCCAGACCUAUAAAAUAUGGUUGGAGUAUCAGAGACCACGGAUUUGAUUAGUAGAAUCACUUUGAGAGCCACCAAACUCAUCCCAACGUACUUGUAGAUAAGGUUUUUUUUUUUUUUUGGUAAAAUAUUCGUAAAUAAGUUGGUUCUCGUCUUUGAAGAUUUUAGUCAGUAGUGUGGAUCCACAUAGCUACUAACUAGUUGGAGUGUGAUUUUUGUUGAUUUCCAAUAAUUUAACUACAUAUUCAUUCAUAUAGAUUGUAACUUCAGUUAAUGAAAAAAGUAAGUAAUUUUUUUUGUUUUAGAUUUGAUUAUCAUUAAACCAGAGUAUUUUUAAAACAUAUUUACAUAAUCUUAUGGAGAGUCAAACAAUUGUAAUGUUUUCAUAUAUAAAUCAAAUAAUACUUUCCGUAAACUCGUUUGUCCCAUUCUCUCCACAUUUCUAGAUUGACCUUUUCAUUGGUGUGCUAAGCAAAAAGGAAAGCCAAGCUACUACUAAGAAAUCCCUUAUAUAUUAAUUGAGGAACAUUUGAAAAG